UGUGUUUUUGUAGUGACUUGAAAUUUGCUUUCUGAAAAUGACACACAAAAGCGCUCACAAAGUCGCAUUCCCACCAAAAUCCUUUCCCAGCAAUGUUUCAACUCGCUUUACAUUCCCAACAAAAUCAACUCAAAAUCGCUUAAAUGCAAACUCUCAGCAAAAUCACUUAUUCGGCGCAAAAUCACUUAUUCGGAGCUAAAUCAUACUUGAUGAUUUCGUUUCUUCUUCUUCUUCUUCAUCGGAGCUAAAUCGGAUUGAAUAUUUUGUUUCUUCUUCAUCGGAGCUAAAUCGGACUUGAAGAUUUCGUUUCUUCUUCUUCUGAGCACAAUUUUCGUUUCUUACACACUGAAGAGUCCACACUUUCACUUCUAAUAGGUAAUACCACCCUGUAGUUCUAUGUGGUUUUGCUGCUUCAUAUUGGUAAUAUCACCCUGCUUCAUAUAGAUAGUUUAUUCUUUUUAAAAUAAUAUUGGAUUAUUCGCAGUUAUGAUAAAUAAUAUUGGAUUAUUUACUACUUUGAUACACAGCUUUGGUGUGUAGUUCUAUGUGGUUUUGCUGCUUCAUAUAGAUAAUUUACAAAGGAAUAACUUGUGUUUAAAAUUGAAAGGCUGCAUGCAUGCAUGUAUGCAUAAUGAUAUAGGAACAGGUUGUAGGAUGGUGAUGAUGUCUCUUGGUAGUGUACAGCUUGUAGCUUCUAAAUCUUGAGAGUUGUUGGAUUUAACUAUGAGCAUUCUAAAGUUGGUGAAUUAAUUAUGGAGAUUUCUGGACAUUAUUCACGUCUCAACCUUCUCCCGUUAAUCAAGUUUACAACAAAUCAGAGUAUAGAAGGAAUUAAAGGACUUUUAAGGAAUUGGUGACUUGAAAAUGGAAUCUCGAGCUUAAACAAAGAUUGAUCAUCAUUUAAAAGAGGGUUUGCAACAAGAGAAGACCAUCAGCUGCAUCAUGUUCAUCAGGAGUGAAGACACUGACUUUGGUUUUUAUCUUGAAAACUAGAGAACUUCUAUGUUUCAAGUUGAGAUUCUUGAAACUUUGAUUCUUGCCUAAUUUGGUUUCUUUCAUCUUGUGUAAUUGAGACUCGUGAUGAUGAAUGGUUUAAUAAUGUGAAGACCAAGUGCUACAAGAUUGGUUAAUGUUUUUGAAGAAGUUUCUUGAGCGACAAACGUGAACUACUCUGAAUAAAAAGAUCAAUAUCUAUAAUGGGUAAGAAACCCUAACUGAAUGCUAUUUAAUUAGCUGAGAAAAGGUUUAACGAGAGAGAUGAGAGAGUGAGUUAGUGAAUUCAAUAUAUAUAAUGGGUAAGAAACCCUAACUGUGCAUUAAAUGCAGUGCUAGCUGUCAAAAUCAAGAUAAAUUACGGACACAAA